rnacentral:lncRNA from 10 species
AAGUGGCACAGGCCAGUAGUCCUUCCCCGGAGUGAGCCUCGCAGCUGGUCCCUGCUAGAGCAGCUGGGCCUGGCCGGGGCAGACCUGGCGGCCCCCGGGGUACAGCAGCAGCUGGAGCUGGAGCGGGAGCGGCUGCGGCGGGAAAUCCGCAAGGAGCUGAAGCUGAAGGAGGGUGCUGAGAACCUGCGGCGGGCCACCACUGACCUGGGCCGCAGCCUGGGCCCCGUAGAGCUGCUGCUGCGGGGCUCCUCGCGCCGCCUCGACCUGCUGCACCAGCAGCUGCAGGAGCUGCACGCCCACGUGGUGCUUCCCGACCCGGCGG